CAAGAUGGACGCCAGAGUCUGUUGAGUUGUCCAGGAUGUCGACGAUGUAUCGGCCACUUCUUCAUCUUCUGCGAUGAGAUCUGUCUCUCCUGCGUCAGUCUUCUUGUUGAGGGUUGUUCUCCUCCUCAUCCUCCUCAGGUUGUCUGUAGAUCUGCAGAGUGGCAGGAGUCGGUCUUCUGCGGCGGAUCUGAGAGCUUCAAGCUCGUGUCUGAACCGGCUCUGAUGCAGCAUCGUCUCACUGUCUCUGACGACAUGAUCAAUCUCAUCUCUCUUUGUGAACAUUCGGCCUCGACCUCACUCAAACCCUACGAAGGUUACCAAGGUUACUGACAGAGCGGCUUCUGAAUAACGAUUUCGCAACGUCGAGAGAGAGCCGGAUCUACCUGUUCGGUCCGUCAGGUCCAGGAUGCAGCCGGGCGGUCGGGGUUUGUGUCGACAGCUGGCUCACGUACCUGCAUUUGUUCAUCUAGAUGAGACGUCCACGCCCAGGUGAAGGAUCGCCAUCGAAACCAUCCACAGAACAUCUCCGUCCAUCACAAGAGGAACAAG